rnacentral:sRNA from 1 species
AUUUACUAAGCUUCUACUCCAAACUUAGUAUUUAUUAAGACAGAUGAUAAUUUUUGUUCUUGUGGGGUAUACAUUCUGUAUGAAUGGAGACAAUAAACAAAAUAAAUUAGUGUCAUGGAAAAUCCAAUGGAAGUGGAUAAAAGGAGGGGAAAUUUCAAAGUCAUUGUUUAUAAUUUUUCCUUGUUCUGUUAAUGUUACAGUGAUGUCAAGAGAAGGGAGUUUAUCUGUGUUCUUCUGCAGGUCAAUAGGAUUGAAUUUUGCACACUUCACUUCAUGAGCAGCUGAAAUGUCGGAGACAAGCAUAUAAUAAAACUACCUGGAAUAUCAGAAGGCCCCAAUAUUAUGUUCCAUUUUAUUACUCGACAAUUACCUGACGAACUAUGUCUUCAGCAUUCCAAUGUAGACUGAAGAUCGGUGGCUCUCUAGAAUUUCCCUGGAACCACAGACCAGAUUAAGAGUACUGAAACAUCUACAGAAUUGUUGAAGAAUCUGGACCACAGCCUG